UAAAGCUCGGCUGUCGCGACGAGUCGUGGGAGUGGGUUUGACGGCAUUGUUUUGCACAACGCGCGGGGCAUCGCUGGGUAGAAAAAAACAAUAUGCGGCGGAUCCCUUCUACUAUUGGCUUCUGGGUUUCCACGACGAUAGCUCCUUCGCCGCCAUGCCAGCCUUGGCAUGUGCCGGGGCUGUUAGUCAUUUAGCCGACGGUGAUGACAUCGGCCUCGAGUGUUGCUGAGAACAUCGUGUUUUCUCCGUCUUAUGCAGGGUUCACUUGGGCUAAAACGCUUUAUUUCAUUCUCCAGUCGAAGAAUAAACACAUUGACGGCGGCGUGUUUUCCUCCUGGGCGUGAACGCACCAUUUCGGGAUGUGUAGAGUGACAGUCGGGAUCUUGGCUCCGCUUCGAGCCAAACGUCCGCGCUAAUUAUAUUUGAGGCAGGGAUCUCCUCAUCACACCUUCCCCUGCGCUUUUCACAGCGGUGAAUGGGGCUUGAUGAGAGAUUGUUAUCGCGCCGGCUCAAUGCGCUCAGGUGUGUUUUAGCGCCGCUCGCGAAGGUGCCGCGGGCUCUCAACACGCCCAUCGGGCUCGCACGCACGGCGGAGUCGUCUUUAAUCACCGGAGACGCGCGCGCGCGCCGACACAUCAUUUAUUAUCAGCUCCGUUUAAAGAACACCCGUGAUCAUUCAGAUUGAAGCAUCGCCUCUGCAGCGAAUUCACAAAAAAACUCUCUCCUCUUUGAUUUUCCAUCCAGAAUGCGCUCAGAGGUCGCGUGAGUUCUUUCAUCCCGGUCCAGUCCUGCUGCACGUGCUCGUUGGCAACAGUCGACGGAUGAACUGGACCAGGUUUUUGGGACGCUCGUUCCCAUCGAUUCACCUUGGGCUGCCUCCGGGCCACCAGCGCUUCCUGCGGAACCAGCGGAACCUCUCGUAAUCCAAUUUGAUCCUGGGAAGGGCGAGUGUCUGGACGGAACCGGGCGGACGGACGCGCCAACAUGUGACCGAGGGAGAGGAGAGCGACGCUAAAAACAAGGAGGACAAAGGGGAGAAAAGGCAGCGAGGGCUCGGAUGAUGGAGAAACAGCUUUUCCUUGGCACGGGAUGCAGCCAGCACAUCUCUGACCUCCGUGACCCCCACCACCCACCACCACAGCCAGCACCACCUCCUCCACCCUUCCUCACCCUGCGGGAGAGCGGCGGGGAAUCGAUACUGCGCAAUCUGAGGGAGUGGAUGCGCCCGUGAGGUCCGGGCAUCCGUCGGAGAACGUUCUGCGUGGACGUGGGGACUUCCCACACAGACUCAUGACAUCCUCAUUCAGCAUCAAGUGCAGAUUUGCACACAGGGAAAAGCGGAUGGGAAAAAAACACCCUUAUUGCUGCGUCUGAGGUCAGUUUUGGAGGCGACUCUCUUGUUGAGUGAGCGAAGCAGAAACCUGAAGUAUGUGCCUAAAUCGCUGUCCUCACUCCGCCCUGCAGUGAGACGUGCUCCUGCCCGAGUCAAGCAAAGGACAAAGGGGGAAAUCAGCUCAAACGUAUUUACAUACAUUGCAUUUUCCUCUUGAGCAAAUGCAAACGCUUUGUGGAAAAUGGAAACAAACAAUCGAAUGCGCAGCCUAAUUAAGAUAACACUUUUUCCCAUUAGUUCUAAUCACUUCUACAUACAAACAGAUCCGCUCGCUGUGCAUAGAUUUUAUGGAUAAGCGCACCUACAGAACGCAAAUGCACGCGGGCCACCGUAAAUACAGCCGUCCCAUCUGGGAGCAUUAAGAAGCUGUUAAUGAAUAGGGUGCUGCAGCAGCAGCCACA